rnacentral:lncRNA from 1 species
AGCACAAAGCUCUUCCAUGAAUCUACACAGUACAAGUAGCUAGCACACUAUCAUAAUAGGUUUUGGGCAAGCGUAGGUAACAGUUCUUGCAUAUAUAUUUGGCUGCAAACUGGAACAUUUUGCAGCACAUAUUUGGCUUUGUCUCUGUUCAUAGGCUUAAACAUACAUGUUCUUAAAUGAUCUCUAAAGAUCUCACAGACAGGUCUAUAUCCAAUUGCUUUAACAAAGGCAAGUGCAUAUUACACUGAUAAUCCUCCAUCCCAACUUAUCAUGAACAUAUAUAAAGUAUGUCAAGAGAAAGCUAAUACAACUACAUAAGGCCUACAUAAUUUCUUUAAUGUUGGCAGGUGCGGCAACUGUUGAUGGCUGGAAUUGCCUGUUUCCAUACUUGAAUGGAAGGAUGUACACAUAACUAAAAAAAGAUGGAGGAUUAGUAAAUAAACUGGGAAGGUUACAUGCUAAGUAAUAAAGCUCAUCGAUCAUGAAUAAAGCAAGUCAGCAAGCCUAAAAAUUGCAUUUGGCUUAAGUACAUGAUGUUGAAUAUAUAUGAGUGGAUGCCUUAUUCGUGGAGCAUUUCUUCAAUCACUUCAGAUAUAAAAUUACAUAGUGUCACAAAUUCCAUUUCAGUCUCUACAUGCUUAGUUCACAGAGCAUUAUACUUGUUGAAAGCAACAUCAAGCCAUGGCUUUAUAUUUCCAUUAAAGUGUGUCAAUGAGCUGGGCCAAUGCUACCAAGACAAGAGUGUGUCAGUGAUGGGCGUCGUCUAGUCGAUGCCAGUGGCGAUACCUAGGGUGUCCUAUGUAACAAGUUCACUGCACAUUUUUUUGGCUAAAGCAACACAUAUAUGUGGAAAUCAUGUAAGAAUAAUUAAACUAUUAUAAACAUAUGUAUUUUACAACUUUGAAUUAAUGUCAUAAACAUAUUUGUGCUUGAAUGGAACUGUCGUAAACCUAUCAAAAUUGAAGAAAGAGUAACAAGAUGUGUUAGCAUUACCUUGCAGUUGGACCACCAUAUCCGAGCACAUCCUUUGAGUGCCCAGCAAAGGUCCUCCCUCUCUCUCAAACAGGAGUCACACACCCAGCUAGCACUCGCCAACACAUGGAUCUCUCUUCCCCAACUCCUAUGCUUCCUGCCUCCUUGUCCAGCUUGCUCUCUAUGAUGAUUAAGGAUUGACUUUUGCUACUGGAACCGAAAUCCUUCUAUUCCUGCUGCUAUUCCUCUCCUUUUUUCCAUCACUCACCAAUCAAAUCCCUUGAUUUCGGUCUCUAGUUACGGGGUUGCAGAGGUGCGCAUACACUCGAGCUCAAAUACGCGUACCAACAAUGCACGGGCAUGAGGUGGAGUGCAAAGGACUGCCUCAAAUCGCAGGCUUCGUGCUGGAGGCCGGUGCACCCUCGUUUGAUUUGUUCGAGCAGCUAGUGGUGUCGCUCCUGGAUGAGCUUCGGCUAGGAGCUCUGUUGUAGCCUGCAUAUAAAAAGGAACAUAUUAAAAUGGAUUAUUCCUUCUUUAUUGGAGGGGUAAGAUGGAUUAUUCCUUAAAUCUAAAGAAGUUUCUAAUUUUGAACUGUUUGCUACAUAUUGCUCCCAGUAUAUUGAUAGUAUUAGUUCUUGAUAGUAUUGUGUGCCAACUCAUUUAUCCUUAAAGCUAAUUUAUUAAAUCUAAAUUAUUCUAUUGCCAUUUGCUACAUAAUAUUAGUCCUUCAAACCUGCAGAUCACGGAAUCAGAAAACUGCACUCCAUUAUCCUUACAACUAAUCUCUGUAAUUAUAAUAUGCCAGUCGUUGAGGUGUGUUCUCCCAUCUCUCACACAAUGAUCCAGUAUGCAAGAAUAGUACAGAACAAAAUCUCAGAUCAACAAAUAGAUUUAAAUAAAGCUAAACAAAUUGCCGCAAUUUCCAUAUCCAUAAAUGUUUAUGUUGUAAAAAGGCAAAAACAGAUAAGAGGAUAUAUCCAGAAUCUUUAAAUGUGAAUAAUUAGCACCUACUGAACAUAGAUAGUGCCUACAUCUAUAAGCUUCAAGAAAACAAAAUAGGUAUCAAAAUUAGACUGCAUGACAUUUUGAGCCAUAAUUAUGGAAAAAUCAGAGGUAUAUUGUUGAACAAUGAUCCAAAUCCGAAUUUGCAAGGAAAGAGAUAAAUUCCAUAUUGCUCGAUGCACAUAAUGCAAUAACGGGUUCAGCAGCCAGCCAUACAAAAUCAACUACUCAGUAUGUCAGGAUUUGAGGAAAGGAUUAGAGGAUUCAGAGACCGGGGGAGAAGGGAGCCCUGGCUGCCCUUGCUCACCUCUGCCUCGCUUGCUCCAUUGCUGGCUCCUACGCUGCUAUGUUUCGUCAUGAGUCACUAUAAUUUUCUCCAGAUCGAGGAUGAGAAGCUCAGCUCCCAGCCACAACGGUCACCCGUGCUCCACCCAGUCUUGAUGUUGCACGGCUCAUGACUACCACCACGCAGAGGACGCCCGUGCUCAUGGUCGUCUUCUCCCCCACCUACAUGAUGCAGCCGUGUCCCCCACCCUCGAAGCGAAGCCCCUACAGUGGCCUGGCAGCGGUGAUAGGAGAGCACACGCACGCCAACUAAGACCCUGGCCUGCAAGACCAUGCUUCUCCCCGACCUCCGCAUGUACUCCUACUCUGUCAACGAUGUUGACUACCAGAGACCAGCGCUGGGGGGCUGGGAGCCGACGGCGACCAUGUGCGCGGGUAGGGCAGCGGGCACCCGGGGACGCGACGACCACUGCUCCAGCACCCCGCAUGCUCUUCCCAGAGCAGGUACCGGCGCGAGGCUGGCUGUGCGACACUCCCCUCCCCCAUCAGGCACCACACCGACGACGACUGCUUCCUCCGCCUCCUCGCCACCACCACCGUCGCGCUCCCCCUGCCAGGUCAGGCCGUGCUGGAGCAGUGGCGUGUUAGCCUCGUUAGCUUGGGCGGGCCGUCGCGAAGACGGGGGCAGCGGCGUGCCGAGGGGGAAGGGUGGGGCGACGAGAUGGAGCGGGGGCGGCAGUGGAUCCGCAGCGGCGAGCGAGGGUGGGGCAACGGCGGCGGCGGCGGCGGAUCGGCUCGUGAGAAGGAGAGGAUAGAGGAACUGCGGCCGCUUCGCUCGGGACAAAGGCGCAGUGCUCGGGCCUGAAACGUUUUUUUUUCACUUACGGACGGACUAU